CUGCUGCCUUCCGUAGGAGUUUGGGCCGUGUCUCAGUCCCAAUGUGGCCGUUCACCCUCUCAGGCCGGCUACUGAUCGUCGCCUUGGUGGGCCGUUACCCCGCCAACCAGCUAAUCAGACGCGGGUCCAUCUUGCACCACCGGAGUUUUUCACACCGAGCCAUGCGGCUCUGUGCGCUUAUGCGGUAUUAGCACCUACUUCUAAGUGUUAUCCCCCGUGCAGCGACGGUUCCCCGUACCCGCGUUGGUCUCCACCCGUCCCGGUCCCA
rnacentral:rRNA from 1 species